CCUACGGGGCGCAGCAGUGGGGAAUAUUGCACAAUGGGGGAAACCCUGAUGCAGCAACGCCGCGUGAAGGAAGACGGUUUUCGGAGUGUAAACUUCUGUUCAUAGGGAAGAAUAAUGACGGUAGCUAAGGAGCAAGCCACGGCCAACUACGUGCAAGCAGCCGCGGUAAGAGGUAGGUGCCAAGCUUUAUCCGGAUUUAUUGGGUUUAAAGGGUGCGUAGGCGGACGGUUAAGUCAGCGGUAAAAGCCCGGGGCUCAACCCCGGCGAGCCGUUGAAACCGGCUGUCUUGAGAUGUCGAGAGGUAGGCGGAAUGCGCAGUGUAGCGGUGAAAUGCUUAGAUAUUGCGCAGAACUCCGAUUGCGAAGGCAGCAUACCGGCGGCGAUCUGACGCUGAGGCACGAAAGCGUGGGUAUCGAACAGGAUUAGAUACCCGUGUAGUC
rnacentral:rRNA from 1 species